rnacentral:rRNA from 1 species
CCUACGGGUGGCUGCAGUGAGGAAUAUUGGUCAAUGGGCGGGAGCCUGAACCAGCCAAGCCGCGUGCGGGAAGAAGGUACAGCGUAUCGUAAACCUCUUUUGUCAGGGAACAAAGUAGGGUACUAGUACCCGGCUGAGGGUACCUGAAGCAUAAGCAUCGGCUAACUCAGUGCCUGCAGCCGCGGUAAUACGGAGGGUGCGAGCGUUAUCCGGAUUUAUUGGGUUUAAAGGGUGCGCAGGCGGCGAGUUAAGUCAGCGGUAAAAUCCCGGGGCUCAACCCCGACAAGCCGUUGAAACUGGCGGGCUAGAGUGGGCGAGAAGUAUGCGGAAUGCGCGGUGUAGCGGUGAAAUGCAUAGAUAUCACGCAGAACUCCGAUUGCGAAGGCAGCAUACCGGCGCCCAACUGACGCUCAGGCACGAAAGCGUGGGUAUCGAACAGGAUUAGAUACCCGGGUAGUC